rnacentral:sRNA from 1 species
AGCCUCCGCGGUGGAUACGUCGCCAUCUUGGAUCCGCGGGACAAGAAAAUUCAUGCGAGGGAGACGUGGUGGGCGGUCCUUCCUGUGACACGACCCUUGAGUGACAGUUCUAUUUGAUUGCCUCCGGUACUGUGAGGAAAGGACACGACUCUAUGGUGAGGACUGAUGGACAUACAUUAUCUGAGAAAAGAAACUACCAGUAAAGACGGGUUUUCACCGUGUUAGCCAGGAUGCUCUCGAUCUCCUGACCUCAUGAUCCGCCUGCCCUGGCCUCCCAAAGUGCUUGGAUUACAGGCGUGAGCCACCACACCUGGCCGCAAAGUUAUCUUUUAAGAGGUUAUCUUAGGUCUUGCGUGGAGUCUAGGAUGAUAGCACUGAUGGUGGCAGAGCGGAAGAAUCCCAUCGUUUAUCAUGUUCUGGUUGGACUUUCUUACUGUUUG